CAUAUCAAUAAGCGGAGGAAAAGAAACCAACCGGGAUUGCCUUAGUAACGGCGAGUGAAGCGGCAAAAGCUCAAAUUUGAAAUCUGGUACCUUCGGUGCCCGAGUUGUAAUUUGGAGAGGGCAACUUUGGGGCCGUUCCUUGUCUAUGUUCCUUGGAACAGGACGUCAUAGAGGGUGAGAAUCCCGUGG
rnacentral:rRNA from 1 species